rnacentral:rRNA from 1 species
UACGAAGGGGGCUAGCGUUGCUCGGAAUCACUGGGCGUAAAGGGCGCGUAGGCGGCCAUUCAAGUCAGGGGUGAAAGCCUGUGGCUCAACCACAGAAUUGCCUUUGAUACUGUUUGGCUAGAGACCGGAAGAGGUAAGUGGAACUGCGAGUGUAGAGGUGAAAUUCGUAGAUAUUAGGAAGAACACCAGUGGCGAAGGCGGCUCACUGGUUCGGUACUGACGCUGAGGUGCGAAAGCGUGGGGAGCAAACAGG